GAUAAGAACGCAGCGAAAUGCGAUAAUUAAUGUGAAUUGCAGAAUUCAGUGAAUCAUCGAGUCUUUGAACGCACAUUGCGCCUUGUGGUAUUCCGCAAGGCAUGCCUGUUUGAGCGUCAGCAAAAACCUCAAGUAGAUAGUCUUUUUCUUUUUUUAAAAGGCUAUUCUAUCUUGGAUUUUUAUCAAGCAAGCAAAUUUUUAUUUUUUUGCUGCUUGGAAAAUCAUAAGAUGGUCGAAGUUUUUCUUUUACCAGACGUAAUAAGAUUUUUUUUAAUCUAAUUCGUUUGAAAUAAAAAAAAAAUAAGACUUAUCUUUUGAACCCACAAAAAAUUUUAUGUUUUUUGCUUGACUUGACCUCAGAUCAGGUAGGGAUACCCGCUGAACUUAAGCAUAUCAAUAAGCGGAGGA
rnacentral:misc_RNA from 1 species